CCUACGGGAGGCAGCAGUGGGGAAUAUUGCACAAUGGGGGGAACCCUGAUGCAGCAACGCCGCGUGGGUGAAGAAGUACCUCGGAAUGUAAAGCCCUGUUAGCAGGGAAGAAAAUGACGGUACCUGACCAAGAAGCCCCGGCUAACUACGUGCCAGCAGCCGCGGUAAUACGUAUGGUGCAAGCGUUAUCCGGAUUUACUGGGUGUAAAGGGAGCGCAGGCGGCACGGCAAGCCUGAUGUGAAAGUCCUGGGCCCAACCGGGGGACUGCAUUGGGAACUGCCGGGCUGGAGAGCCGGAGAGGUAGGCGGAAUGCCUAGUGUAGCGGUGAAAUGCGUAGAGAUUAGGAAGAACACCAGUGGCGAAGGCGGCCUACUGGACGGUGACUGACGCUGAGGCUCGAAAGCGUGGGGAGCAAACAGGAUUAGAUACCCUUGUAGUC
rnacentral:rRNA from 1 species